AUUGAACGCUGGCGGCAGGCUUAACACAUGCAAGUCGAGCGAGCGGCGGACGGGUGAGUAAUGUCUGGGAAACUGCCUGUUGGAGGGGGAUAACUACUGGAAACGGUCGCUAAUACCGCAUACCAUCUGAUUUGUCCAGAUGGGAUUAGCUAGUGGGGGGGGUAAUGGCUAACCUAGGCGACGAUCCCUAGCGGGUCUGAGAGGCGGACCAGCCACACGGGAACGGAGAAACGGUCAAGACUCCUACGGGAGGAAGCGGGGGGAAAUAUUGGAAAAUGGGCGAAAGCCUGAUGCAGCCAGGCCGCGUGUGUGAAGAAGGCCUUCGGGUUGUAAAGCACUUUCAGCGAGGAGGCGUUACUCGCAGAAGAAGCACCGGCUAACUCCGUGCCAGCAGCCGCGGUAAUAC
rnacentral:rRNA from 1 species